UGGCGAACGGGUGAGUAACACGUUGGUACCUACCCCUAAGUGGGGAAUAACUGCCCGAAAGGGUGGCUAAUACCGCAUAAUCCCGCAAGGGUAAAGCAGUAAUGCGCUUAGGGAGGGGCCUGCGUCUGAUUAGCUAGUUGGUAGUGUAAUAGACUACCAAGGCGACGAUCAGUAGCUGGAUCGAGAGGUUGACCAGCCACACUGGGACUGAGAUACAGCCCAG
rnacentral:rRNA from 1 species